UCGGUAUGCAAUAAUACAAUAACAUAGUCAUGAAUACAAUCUUGUCAUACCAUUAUAAAUUAUAAUAUUCUAAUUAUUAUUAUUACAAUUCAUUCAACAUUAAUAACUUCAAAAUUAUGUUUAAUAUGUACCUACAUUA